rnacentral:rRNA from 1 species
GGGGAAUUUUCCGCAAUGGGCGAAAGCCUGACGGAGCAAUACCGCGUGAGGGAGGAAGGCUUUUGGGUUGUAAACCUCUUUUAUCAGGGAAGAAACAAAUGACGGUACCUGAUGAAUCAGCAUCGGCUAACUCCGUGCCAGCAGCCGCGGUAAUACGGAGGAUGCAAGCGUUAUCCGGAAUUAUUGGGCGUAAAGCGUCCGUAGGUGGUUUUUCAAGUCUGCUGUCAAAGCGUGGAGCUCAACUCCAUAUCGGCAGUGGAAACUGGGAGACUAGAGUGCGAUAGGGGUAACGGGAAUUCCCAGUGUAGCGGUGAAAUGCGUAGAGAUUGGGAAGAACACCAGCGGCGAAAGCGCGUUACUGGGUCUGCACUGACACUGAGGGACGAAAGCUAGGGGAGCGAAAGGGAUUAGAUACCCCUG